UCAAGUAAGUAAGGGCGUACGGCGGAUGCCUUGGCCAUAUCAGCCGAAGAAGGACGCGAUAAGCUGCGAUAAGCUGCGGUGAGGUGCAAGUAACCAUUGACCCGCAGAUCUCCGAAUGGGGAAACCCGGCAGCAGGAGUGCUGUCAUCCUCUAAGAGGAAGGGCACCCGGUGAACUGAAACAUCUAAGUAGCCGGAGGAAAAGGAAUCAACAGAGAUACCCCAAGUAGCGGCGAGCGAACGGGGCAGAGCCCAAACCGUCACGGGAAACCGGGACGGGGUUGCGGACUGCAGUAAACUGCCAGCGUGAAGCAGAAUCAGGUGGGAACCUGAGCCAGAGACGGUGAGAGCCCGGUAGGCGUAAGCAACGGCAGGGAGCAGGAUCCAGAGUACCACGAGACACGAGAAACCUUGUGGGAAGCAGGGGGGACCACCCUCCAAGGCGAAAUACUGAUAUGGACCGAUAGCGCAUAGUACCGUGAGGGAAAGGUGAAAAGAACCCCGGGAGGGGAAUGAAAGAGAACCUGAAACCGUAUGUCUACAAGCAGUCGAAGCACAUUAGUGGUGCAACGGCGUGCCUAUUGAAGAAUGAACCGGCGAGUUAUUUCAUCCAGCGAGGUUAAGCAGGAAAUGUGGAGCCGCAGCGAAAGCGAGUCUGAACAGGGCGAGGAGUUGGAUGGAAUAGACCCGAAACCACAGUGAUCUACCCAUGUCCAGGUUGAAGCACAGGUAAAAAUGUGUGGAGGACCGAACCAGUGAGCGUUGAAAAGCUUUUGGAUGAGAUGUGGGUAGGGGUGAAAUGCCAAUCGAACGUGGAGAUAGCUGGUUCUCCCCGAAAUAGCUUUAGGGCUAGCCUCAUGGUGAGAGUACAGGCGGUAGAGCACUGAACAGGGUAGGGGCCUAUCCGGCUACUGAACCUAAUCAAACUACGAAUGGCUGUACUUAUACAUGGGAGUCAGACUGCGAGUAAUAAGACCCGUAGUCAAGAGGGAAACAGCCCAGACCAACAGCUAAGGUCCCCAAUGCCGUACUAAGUGGCGAAGGAUGUGGAAUUUCGAAAACAACCAGGAUGUUGGCUCAGAAGCAGCCACCAUUAAAAGAGUGCGUAAUAGCUCACUGGUCGAGAGACUCUGCGCCGAAGAUGACCGGGGCUAAAGUACGGAACCGAAGCUUUGGCAACUGACACUAGUCAGUUGGGUAGGGGAGCGUUCCUGCAUGGGAGAAGCCUGACCGGAAGGACAGGUGGACAGGCAGGAAGAGAGAAUGCCGGUAUGAGUAGCGAAAAGAAAGGUGAGAAUCCUUUCCACCGAAAGCCAAAGGGUUCCUGGGCAACGCUCGUCGUCCCAGGGUAAGUCGGGACCUAAUCCGAGGCGAAGACGCGUAGGAGAUGGACAACAGGUUGAAAUUCCUGUACUGACAGUUCUCGUUUGAGCGAGGGAGUGACGCAAGAAGGAAGGCGCGCAUGCGGUUGGAAGCGCAUGUCCAAGCAGGUAGGUUGAAUGACAGGCAAAUCCGUCAUUCUGAAAGCCGAGAUGCGAUGGGGAGUUUCUGGAGACAGAAACGAAGGGGCUGGGACUCGAUUGCCAAGAAAAGCUUCUAGUGAGAGAACUGCCACCCGUACCGCAAACCGACACAGGUAGGCAGGAAGAGAAUUCUAAGGUGCGCGGGAAAACCCUCGUUAAGGAACUCGGCAAAAUAUAUCCGUAACUUAGGGAAAAGGAUAGCCCGGAGAGUGUGAAGAGCCGAAACGCUCGGAGCAUGAACGGGCGGCAGAAGAGAGGCCCAAGCGACUGUUUACCACAAACACAGGCGUCUGCGAAAGGGAAACCUGAAGUAUAGAUGCUGACACCUGCCCGGUGCUGGAAGGUUAAGAGGACUUGUUAGCGCAAGCGAAGCAGAGAAUUGAAGCCCCAGUAAACGGCGGCCGUAACUAUAACGGUCCUAAGGUAGCGAAAUUCCUUGUCGGGUAAGUUCCG
rnacentral:rRNA from 1 species